GGGGAAUUUUCCGCAAUGGGCGAAAGCCUGACGGAGCAAUACCGCGUGAGGGAAAACUGCCUAUGGGUUGUAAACCUCUUUUUUCAGGGAGGAACAAAAUGACGUGUACCUGAAGAAUAAGCAUCGGCUAACUCCGUGCCAGCAGCCGCGGUAAGACGGAGGAUGCAAGUGUUAUCCGGAAUCACUGGGCGUAAAGCGUCUGUAGGUGGUUUAAUAAGUCAACUGUUAAAUCUUGAGGCUCAACUUCAAAAUCGCAGUCGAAACUAUUAGACUAGAGUAUAGUAGAGGUAAAGGGAAUUUCCAGUGGAGCGGUGAAAUGCGUAGAUAUUGGAAAGAACACCGAUGGCGAAAGCACUUUACUGGGCUAUUACUAACACUCAGAGACGAAAGCUAGGGUAGCAAAUGGGAUUAGAUACCCCUGUAGUC
rnacentral:rRNA from 1 species